UCCUGGAUAGCUCAGUUGGUUAAAACAUGGUGCUGAUAACACCAAGGUCACAGGUUCGAUCCCCGUAGGGGAC